CGAUCUUUCAAAAUUUCGGUAUCUUGAAAUCGAUCUUCCUCCACCAUUACCAUUGACAACACCAAAUGUUACUAUCGCUUUGUCUACAUGCAUUAACUAACGCAAGGCCACAAAACUGAAGUAAUGAAAGUAAAGUAGACCUCUGUAAGGCUUCAAAUAAUUUUAAUUUUACUAAACCCUAAACCCUUUUAAUUUUAAUCUGCUCUCUGACUUCAGUGGCAGCUGCAAAGCUUAAGGAGGAGGUGGUGGGCCUGGCGAUGGCAGAUGCCACUAAGGAGAUGGAAUUCGCACAAAAGUUUGAUGUUCUGGGUUUUCGACACUGUACUUCUAUGUUGAUGGGGGUGUAUAAACCCUAUCCUAGUAAACAAACCAAGUAAGUUUUUCAUGUCUAUAUAGGAUGAAUCUCAUGUAUUUACGAUUUCAUACAUGAAGAUGAAUGAAUAAACAUGGUUUUAUUGCGUGGAUAUUUUUAUUUGUAUUAUGUGCAUUUAGGGACGGAACGAGAGUAAGAAUCUAGGAUGGACUAAUUGUUAGAAAAAUGUCCAUCAUAAUACGAAAUACUAGAUUACCCUUCCUCAUGGCGAUAACGUUUUGAUUUUAAUCUUAUUUGUUUAGUUUUUGCAUCUAACAGUUCUAUAGAAUGUUAGAGACUAAUACUUUUUAAAGUAGAAUGAAUUAUUUAAAUUGUAUUCAAUUUACAGGUUCUUAUGUUGUUAGAACUGGAUGUUCAAUAGACUAAACUGCUCGUUUUCAUGAUUUAUAUUGUAGAGAUGCAAUAAUUAAUUGGGUGAACAAGAAAACAAUCCCCGCUUUGUAUAACAUCACACCGACAGAGGAGGCUGAACACAUCUUGGUUGUAGAAGAAAAAAUAGUAUUUGGUUAUUUAGAGAGCUUGGUGGUAUGACUUCUAUUGCUGUUCAAAUUGUUGUAGUAUUUUAGAGAGUGUAUUUACUACUCAUUUGCCCAAAAUAUUAGAUGAACUUGUGGAUGCUUCGAAGCUGGAAGAUGAUGUUAGCUUCUAUCAGAUGACGAGUCCUGAUGUAGCAAAACUCUUCCAUAAUGAUCCCAAAGACAAACGUCUUGGUCAUUAUUAAAAAAGAAGCUGAAAAAGUUAACUACUUUGGUUAGUUAC
rnacentral:lncRNA from 1 species